rnacentral:rRNA from 1 species
UACAGAGACUGCAAGCGUUAUUCGGAUUCACUGGGCGUAAAGGGUGCGUAGGCGGUUUGGUAAGUCUGAUGUGAAAUCUAUGGGCUCAACUCAUAGUCUGCAUCGGAAACUGCCGGGCUUGAGUAUGGGAGAGGUGAGUGGAAUUCCUGGUGUAGCGGUGAAAAUGCGUAGAUAUCAGGAGGAACACCUGUGGCGAAAGCGGCUCACUGGACCAUAACUGACGCUGAUGCACGAAAGCUAGGGGAGCAAACAGGA